rnacentral:ncRNA from 2 species
UCCUCAUGCUAGGGGUGUCCGCCUAAGGCGGACUGAGAGUCUGCUUCUGGCAGGCAACCCUCUGAACCUGAUCCGGAUCGUGCCGGCGUAGGGAAGCGUGAGAGUCGCUGU